AAGUAAGUCUAUAGUAGAUGCAUUCUGAUGUAAUCACAAGUAAGUCUAUAGUGGCUAUAGACUUACUUGUGAUUACAUCAGAAUGCAUCUGCUAUAGACUUAC
rnacentral:pre_miRNA from 1 species